GUGCUUAACACAUGCAAGUCGAACGAACCUUCGGGUUAGUGGCGGACGGGUGAGUAACGCGUGAGAAUCUGCCCUCAGGAGGGGGACAACAGCUGGAAACGGCUGCUAAUACCCCAUAUGCCGCGAGGUGAAAUGAAUUUCGCCUGAGGAUGAGCUCGCGUCUGAUUAGCUAGUUGGUGUAGGUAAUGGCUCACCAAGGCAUCGAUCAGUAGCUGGUCUGAGAGGAUGAUCAGCCACACUGGGACUGAGACACGGCCCAGACUCCUACGGGAGGCAGCAGUGGGGAAUUUUCCGCAAUGGGCGAGAGCCUGACGGAGCAACGCCGCGUGAGGGAUGAAGGCCUCUGGGCUGUAAACCUCUUUUAUCAAGGAAGAAGAUCUGACGGUACUUGAUGAAUAAGCCACGGCUAAUUCCGUGCCAGCAGCCGCGGUAAUACGGGAGUGGCAAGCGUUAUCCGGAAUUAUUGGGCGUAAAGCGUCCGCAGGCGGCCCUUCAAGUCUGCUGUUAAAAAGUGGAGCUUAACUCCAUCAUGGCAGUGGAAACUGUUGGGCUUGAGUGUGGUANGGGCAGAGGGAAUUCCCGGUGUAGCGGUGAAA
rnacentral:rRNA from 1 species